rnacentral:rRNA from 1 species
CAGUAGCCACGGUAAUACGUAGGUGGCAAGCGUUGUCCGGAAUUAUUGGGCGUAAAGGGCUCGCAGGCGGUUUCUUAAGUCUGAUGUGAAAGCCCCCGGCUCAACCGGGGAGGGUCAUUGGAAACUGGGAAACUUGAGUGCAGAAGAGGAGAGUGGAAUUCCACGUGUAGCGGUGAAAUGUGUAGAGAUGUGGAGGAACACCAGUGGCGAAGGCGACUCUCUGGUCUGUAACUGACGCUGAGGAGCGAAAGCGUGGGGAGCGAACAGGAUUAGAUACCCGUGUAGUCCCUGUCUCUUAUAU